ACAAUGUGAUAAGAUAUGAUAGCAUAUAGGUCAACGUCCAUGGUGUUGCAAGUGCAGUAGGCUAGUUAAAUAUCAAAUUACUUGAAGGAAUGAUACAGUUUACAGUCAAGGUUUCAUGAAAUCUAAUGGACAGUUUGAAUAAAGAUUGAUAACGAAUUUUGAAAACGAGUUGGCCUACGUAGGCAUGCGCUGCAAUGCGGUAAAAAAAAAGGAUCUGCAUUUUGGAACAAGGACGCAUGCGUAUGGCAUGCUACCAAGGGGUCAAUAGAGACAUUUCUAGAAAUAAACUACAGUAGAGUCCAGCCGUCAGAGGAGCAUCCAACAGGUCUCUGGAGGGUAUCAGACAGCCAGCCUCACCCAGGAAGCACAGAAGGAUAUGGAGCACAUCUGCCCAGCGGCCGACAGUCAGCAUCAGGACCAUGAGCCCCCCCAGACGCACCACCACUGUGUUUAUAACAGCUUGGCCACUUGGCUGGCGAUGUUGCUCCUCUGAGUAGAAAAUAAUUAUCAUCAGUUGAACGCUUUCUCAAUGAGAAUGACAACACUAUGCUUGUAAUUUACUUGUUUUGUGGUUUUUACAAAAUACCCAAAUAGUAUCUGACAAUCUGCUGCUUAAACGUUUCCCCAUACAGGAUACAGUAUGUUCAGUCUCUCACCCUGCAUAUACACCACCAGCAGUGUGUAGCAGAUUGUCAGUGGAGUCCAGAACCUGAGGGCUUCUGUAGCUGAGAGGAAGUGUUUGUUUAUUAUAGAUAUGGCGGAAAUGGCAGCCACUGCAAAGCUGAGCAUAAGGGCCCUGGUCAGGUGUGGUAACAAAGAGCAACCUGAUGUAAGCAGUGCAAUGCACACUCCACAGUAGUGCUGGGAACUGUGUAGUUUGUACAGUGUAGUGACAUGGAGCCGUAGGCGCCCAGUCUGGCUGGCCAGGAACCAGCUCAGUCCUGCAGCUAGGAGAAGGCAGAGCCAGCGCUGCGGCGCCCCCUCGUGGAGGAAAUGGAGACUGCAGCUGAGGGCACAACCCAGGGAGAACUGGCACUGGACCAGCAGCUGCUGUAGGAACCUACUGGACUCCUGCAGAUUCAGAGAGCAGGAGGGAAAUUAAUUUAGAGAUGGAUCAAGGCUGAUGAAUGGGAGAUGUGAGAGAGAUUUUAAUAUAAUUAUAAGUGACAUUUAUGUUAUUAUCUUGCAAGUGCCUCACUGGUCCAGCUGUGACCCAAGCUGACACUGCUCUGAGGGAGAACUCUAGAACCACCAGGGAGGCAACCCGAGAGCCCACUACAGCCAGCAUCACUGACAGGAACAAGAACUGGAGAGUUCCACUCAGCCCAAAUGUAGCACUGGCUUGAUGCCUUGAUUUCUUCUGCAUAGAUGUCUCUUUACUGCUGCUUUUGUUGCUUGAACUGAGUAGAGAAAGUAUUAAUUUCAAAGCAGUGAAAUACAAAUCAAUGAUUUCUAAGGAUACAUUGAUUACUAUUGACAAUGUAAAUCACAUUACAGUCUUUGUUCAUAGUGACGAAAUCAAGCACAAUAUUCAAUGGCACAAAUUAUUAAACUACAUCAAGAGGCCUUAGUAGGUAUGAGGUUAGUUAUCUACAUCCACAUCUUCUAUAUGGUUUGGUCCUGUUUCUCACGUGUUUUUAAAUGUCCCUGUCUAUAAUAUGGUAAUUGCAUCCAGAUUCUAAUUAUAGGGAAACAGGUAUAGCAACAAUCAGUUUGUUUAUUUAUCAAACGCUAUUACAACUAACGAUGUAGCCUAACCUAUAUACUGAAGUUGCCUAACUACAAUGUAAUUAAAAAUGUAUGAUAAUAACAAGAAGUGUAGCCUGAGACCCAAGUGAAAUCAUAUCUUCCAUAGUUGUAUACGUUUCUCACCUUUCAGCCUCUAAGAAUACGUGUACUCUCAACAGGUUACAGAGAACAGAGAUCCCACAUGCGCCGAUAAGUCCUGUGUCACACAAAACAUGUCAUCAACAGAAUUGUAUUAUAAAAUAUCGGUUCUUAAAAUAAACGUACAGCAUGAGUAGCAACCUGCAAAAAGGCAUUCGGCACAAACCAAGCAAGGAGAAGGCCCUUUACCCGGAGUAGCCUAGAACGAUACAAACAUCUCACCUUGGAGUAGACUGUCCAGGGGGGUUGCAUCGAGCGUCAGCCAUCCAGGUAAACUCGGAAGAAACGAUGUAAUUAAAGAUAACAUUUUCGUUAAAUCGCUAGAAUAUUGGACUAAUGAUUCCCUAGAGCUAUAGCUAGUUUCGAUAUCAAACCUAUUGCCGGUUUAGACCCUAUCGUGUGCACAUGACCAAUACACUUUGAAUUGAAAAAUAGGCUAAUUUCAGAAAUGGGUCAUUUAAUUGCAACAGUUAUAUUUCGAUAAAAGAUAAGACCAUACCAGUUGGUCAAUUGACAAAAUACUUGAAUCAUUUCAAAAGUUUAAAUGACUAUCUCUGUCUAUUUCUCUGUGAUUAAAUAACUACGCUUUGCUCAGUCAUUGUGCCGUUCAAAGGUCAGUCGUGGGCAGUCAUUGUGAGACAAAAAUGUAUGUGAAAUUCAUUUAAAAAAAGGUGUCUUUAAAUAAACAACGUUUAAUUGUUGUAGAAACAACCAAUGUAAUUACUCUACAACCAAAAAUGUGUGGCAAAAAAUACCUUAAAUGUAAAAGUUAUAUUUUAAUAAAAUAAACCUUCACUAGAGAAAACAGUGGAAAUAAUGUGUUUGGAAGUACAACAAAAACUCACUACUGUAAUUCACUCUGUAUAAGAGUAUCAAAAAUCUGGUGAUUGUCCCAGUAGCAUGACUAAGUCACCUAUAUCAAACAGGCAAAGCCUACUACACCGGCUCUGACGCUCAAUGGAUGUGGCAGGGCAUGCAAACCAUCACAGAUUACAAAGGGAUACCCAGCCAUGAGCUGCCCAGUGACACAAGCCUACCAGAUGAGCUAAAUGCCUUCUAUGAGCUCACAUCUGUAGACAUGAAAUGCUUUGAAAGGCUGGUUGGUAAUGGCUCACAAUACCAUCAUCCCAGACACCAUGGACCCACUCCAAUUCGCUUACUGCCUCAACAGAUCCACAGAUGACACAAUUUCUAUGCACUCCACACUGUCCUUUCCCACUUGGACAAAAGGAACACUUAUUGUACAUGAGAAUGCUGUUCAUUUGACUAGAGCUCAUUACUUGUUUUACUUUUCUAUUAUUUUUCUAUUUCCGUUUUCUCUGCAUUGUUGGGAAGGGCCCAUAAGUAAGUAUUCCACUGUUAGCCCAAACCUGUUGUUUUAUGAAGCAUGUGACGAAUACCAUUUGAUUUGAUUUAUAUGUUGUGAUAUCAUUGAGUUCACGACUUCAGAGGCAUUUCGUGUGCGUUCAAAUUUUCUUCUAAAACUUAAAUCAAUUCUAACUUAAAUUCUAACAGUGUAGCUCAUGUGUAAUCAUCAAUGGGGUGGCAGGGUAGCCUAGUGGUUAGAGUGUUGGAUUAGUAACUGAAAGGUUGCAAGUUCAAAUCCCCGAGCUGACAAGGUACGAAUAUUUUGUUUUGCCCCUGAACAGGCAGUUAACCCACUGUUCCUAGGCCGUCAUUGAAAAUAACAAUUUGUUCUUAAAACUGACUUGCCUAAUUAAAUAAAGGUUACAUUUUUAUUUUA